GGAAGCACUUGGACUGGGGACAAGAAAGUACAGCCAAGUGUUCUGCCGCUGCUGUCCCAGCACCCACUCACUUUGUACAGGAAGGACGUCAGGAAACUACUCCCUGCAGAGGCCAUGGGCAGGCCAACUUCCAGUGCAUUCUCCACUCCAAUGCACUGAGGAGACUUUACUGGCUCUGUUCUGGACACAACUGGACUCCCUUACUCCAGAGCCAUAUCAUAGGUUGGCUUCUGUGGCAGUUUUGUCAAGUGUCUCCAAGGCUGACCCUGAAGAAUGCUGCCUCCUAGGAGGAUCUAUGGAGAACUCUACUGGCCAGAUUCACUCUCUACCCACCCAGAAUUUGUCACCCUCCCCCCAGGGGUCUUGGACAAGAAAUGAGUGAUCUGAUUCCCACACUUGAUGCUCUGAGGAUACGGGACACAUCUGAGAAGCCCAGGCACCUUUUCCAUGCGACUCCGAUGAGCCAUGACUGAUGCAAACGGUAGAACUAAGCUGGUAACUCGCCCUUGAGAUGCAUCUGCAGGGGAGUCAGACAAGGUGCUAAGGUGCCAAAUGGCUUAUGAUACUGAGAGCCUGCGGGGAUCUUCUGGCACACUUCACUGUAAAACUGUAGCGAUGUGGAUUUGUGCCAGUAAAUAUGAAGGAGAGCUGAAAAUAGCAAGGGGUUUCUCGUCUUUAAGUUAUUGUCUGCAACCACCAGGCAGAACUCUCUGGGCUCUACAAGGCAGUCCAGGGGGAGUCACAUCUAGAAUACUGGAACAUUUUCCUAGGACGCCCCCUCCCUAAAGAAGGAGAACCCUCCAGGAGUGGUUAUGCCCCCUCCUACAUCUCUGUUAAGAGGUAUAAAGUUAGUACAACCUUUGCCAAGGGCAAUCUGGCAGCAGAGACUGAACAACAAAGAUACCUCCUGAACCCAGCAUUGCCUGGGAGAGAUUUUUGAUUUUUUUCUGCUUUCUUUUCCUUACAGAUUCACUCAUACAAAAUGACCUAAACACAGUCAUUGCAGCACUGUUUGUAAAAGCAAAUGACUAAACACAAUCUAAAAGCUGAACAGUAGGAGAUCGGUUAAAUAAAUUAUAGGACAUCUGUGAGGCUGGGAAAGAUUGGAGUUAGCUUUCUAAACCCAUAUGGAGUGAUCUCUAAGGCGGGUGGUCUGGUAGAACAGGGCCAGUUCAGCAGAGUGCAGGGCCUGUGUUACCGGCAGCUGUGAGAUCUGUAAUGGACCAGUCUAGGUUGCAACUGAUUGAAUAUUCAGUUUUUGAAAGUGGCUAAGGAAAUGAGCCGCCUCCUAGGGAGGAAACUGGGUGGGAGAGAGGCAGGAGUGAGCUGACCUGCCUUGGUAUCUCUACUGUGUUUACUUACAGUAUGACUUACUCAAAGCUAAGCAGAGGGGUCCAAGCCUGCAGUCAUGGCGACCGCAUUUGCUCUUUUUCCCAUUCCUUUUCUUGUCUCUGCCUCACCUUCUGUCACAAGGAGAGGUUGCAGUGUCUGAGAGCACAGAUGGUGGAGUCAGGAGCCCUGGCUAUGCCUGUGUACAAGCUUAUCCCUCUGCAAACCUGAGCUGAAUCCUAUAGCCACCAGGGAGAAGAGGAGGCCUCCUGCUGAGAAGACUGAAGCAGAUCGUCUUUGGAAAGGCCACGGCCCCUCCAAAGCUGCUGGGAAGUCUGCCUUUACCUGCUCUAGGCCUGGCAUUCUACAUUCAGAAGGAAGUUGGGGUAGGGGGGCCAUGGUGAAACAGCUCAAACUUCAGAUGCAUCAUUUCCCUGUAGCUCAGGCAGGGCUGGCAGUUGUGUGGGUGUCCUUAUUUUCUCCCCACCGUAUUCUGUUCCCGCCAUAAGGAUGCAAAGUGAUUUCCCAGGCUAGA